UCAGGUAACCAAGCUUCCUUCUAGUGUGACCUACCUUGGUCUCACAAUGGUGCGAAGAACUGAAACUGGACAUUCAGUAAACAUUUCUCUGAGGCAGAGCUGCUCUGGAUGCACAAAUUAUCUCACUGGCUCAGUUGAACUUUUCUAAAAAAGGUGAUUCUCUGGCCCCGCCCACUGGUGUUUAAGUCAACCAAUGAGAUUAUUUCUGUCUCCAGAGCAGAAAUGUUUGAGGAACCUGAUGUUGAGGAGAAGGGCUGUGCAGCAGAGAGGCUGUUUAGUGUUUUCAUUCUACUGCAGUGGAAGAACAUUGCUCAUCUGCUGUCUGUCUGGCUUUAACAACUCCAAAGACAUGUUGCUUUAUCUCUUUUUACUUUUCUCUCACUUUAUAGGUGAGUGUUAGAACAGAGAUCAAAGUCUCAUUUAACCUGCUGCAUUAACCAGAUAUUUGGUCUACAUUUCUUAACUACAGGUUUAUCUGUGUAAGGUAACAACUUCCAUGAUCGAAAAAGACAUUUGGUUUAUUGAAUGAAUCCAAAAAGUCAAGAACCUCCGUUGAGUCUCUGGAUGUCAGAAUCUCUUGCAGACUAACUGACAUGAAUGACUCAUUUUGCAGCCCUGGGUUCCAUGAACAGCAUAAAGCCAGAAAGUCCUGAACAACAUGUUGCAGAUGGAGGAAACAUCAACCUGAACUGUAAAUAUGAGGGUGUUAUCAACAAUAUCCAGUGGUACCGACAAUACCAGAGAUCCAGACCAGAGUUCCUGCUCUACAUCACAGAGGGAGGAUUGAUUCAUCCAAGUGAUUCUGAUUUCUCAGCUCACAUUAACAAAACAGAGAAACGUGUCAAUCUGGAGAUCUCCUCUGCUGCAGUGACUGACUCUGCUGUGUACUACUGUGCUCUGCAGCCCACAGUGACAGGAAACACCAAGACUCUGUACAAAAACCUUCGGGGCAAAGACAACAGAGUACUCCACAACGUCCACUAGAGGGAGUCACACAGUGUUAACCUACAUUCUAGAAUCAUGAACACCUCCUCCACAAGUUGUUCCCUCAGUUAUAUAUACAGCCUUUAUUUAAUCAGCUCGUCUCAAUGAGAUCAGACAGACCUGAGUACAGCAGGUAGAGAGAAA